UACGUAGGAUGCAAGCGUUGUCCGGAGUUAUUGGGCGUAAAGCGAACGUAGGCGGUUACUUAAGUUUGGUCUUAAAGACCGGGGCUCAACUCCGGGAAUGGACUGAAUACUGGGUGACUAGAGGAUGUCAGAGGAGAGUGGAAUUCCAAGUGUAGCGGUGAAAUGCGUAGAUAUUUGGAGGAACACCAGUGGCGAAGGCGGCUCGCUGGACCGCAACUGACGCUGAGGAACGAAAGCUAGGGGAGCAAACAGG
rnacentral:rRNA from 1 species